GAUGAACGCUAGCUACAGGCUUAACACAUGCAAGUCGAGGGGAAACGAUAUUGGAAGCUUGCUUCCGAUAGGCGUCGACCGGCGCGCGGGUGAGUAACGCGUAUCCAACCUGCCCACCACUUGGGGAUAACCUUGCGAAAGUAAGGCUAAUACCCAAUGAUAUCUCAAGAAGACAUCUGAAAGGGAUUAAAGAUUUAUCGGUGAUGGAUGGGGAUGCGUCUGAUUAGCUUGUUGGCGGGGUAACGGCCCACCAAGGCGACGAUCAGUAGGGGUUCUGAGAGGAAGGUCCCCCACAUUAGAACUGAGACACGGUCCAAACUCCUACGGGAGGCAGCAGUGAGGAAUAUUGGUCAAUGGGCGAGAGCCUGAACCAGCCAAGUAGCGUGCAGGAUGACGGCCCUAUGGGUUGUAAACUGCUUUUAUAAGGGAAUAAAGUGAGCCUCGUGAGGCUUUUUGCAUGUACCUUAUGAAUAAGGACCGGCUAGUUCCGUGCCAGCAGCCGCCGUAA
rnacentral:rRNA from 1 species